rnacentral:rRNA from 1 species
UACGUAGGGGGCAAGCGUUAUCCGGAAUCAUUGGGCGUAAAGCGCGUGUAGGCGGUUCAGUAAGUCCGCUCUGAAAGCCCAGGGCUCAACCCUGGGAGGCGGGUGGAUACUACCGAACUAGAGUACGGAAGAGGAGAUUGGAAUUCCUGGUGUAGCGGUGAAAUGCGCAGAUAUCAGGAGGAACACCAACAGCGAGGCAGAUCUCUGGGACGUAACUGACGCUGAGACGCGAAAGCGUGGGGAGCAAACAGG